UGGAAGUGGGAGAGAACACUUAGGAAAGAGAUCUCAAAGAAAAAUCUCCCAAAAGCACAAAAGGGCCAUUCAAAGCAAAAUAGAGAGAAGAAGAGCAUCCAAGUGAAUCCCAAAGCUUCCUCUUCAACUGUGUGCUGCCUCAGUGAUCUUCUAUCUCGUGCCAAAUCAGAAGAGGGUCAAGUAAAGAAGAAGCCGAGUUCCUUCAUCUACGAAUUUGUUUGAGGGCUUCUUCUCU
rnacentral:lncRNA from 1 species